GGGCGUGUAGCUCAGUUGGUUAGAGCGCAUCCCUGAUAAGGAUGAGGUCGCUGGUUCGAGACCAGCCACGCCCA
rnacentral:tRNA from 1 species